GAUGAACGCUGGCGGCGUGCCUAAUACAUGCAAGUCGAGCGAACGGACGAGAAGCUUGCUUCUCUGAUGUUAGCGGCGGACGGGUGAGUAACACGUGGAUAACCUACCUAUAAGACUGGGAUAACUUCGGGAAACCGUAGCUAAUACCGGAUAAUAUUUUGAACCGCAUGGUUCAAAAGUGAAAGACGGUCUUGCUGUCACUUAUAGAUGGAUCCGCGCUGCAUUAGCUAGUUGGUAAGGUAACGGCUUACCAAGGCAACGAUGCAUAGCCGACCUGAGAGGGUGAUCGGCCACACUGGAACUGAGACACGGUCCAGACUCCUACGGGAGGCAGCAGUAGGGAAUCUUCCGCAAUGGGCGAAAGCCUGACGGAGAACGCCGCGUGAGUGAUGAAGGUCUUCGGAUCGUAAAACUCUGUUAUUAGGGAAGAACAUAUGUGUAAGUAACUGUGCACAUCUUGACGGUACCUAAUCAGAAAGCCACGGCUAACUACGUG
rnacentral:rRNA from 1 species